rnacentral:lncRNA from 10 species
UUUGCUGAGAUGGAGGAGGGAGAGAAAACUUCUAGUAUGAAGGAGAGUUGUCCUAUCCUAAAUGCCAAUAGGGUCCUUGUUGAGAAAUACUUUACCCCCCGUCAGGUGAUCUGGAGACAGUUAUGUGCAAUUCAUAUUCAGAAGGUUUAACUACACAAACAAAAUAUGUCAAGCAAGUGAAAGCAGAUUUAAGGAGCGUAUUCAGAAAGAAGUGUAGUUAAGCCUGUUUUUGGACAUUUAGAGAGCAUGAUCACUUUGCCCAAAACCGAAAAGGAGCACUGGCCUUAAGUGGAAUACGGAGGAUAUCAGGAAGAGAAGACUCUCAAAUGUUGAAAUUUCAAAUGUGGGCGAGGAAGCUGGCUGAAAUGCAAUGAUUCCCAGGGAAACUUGGAACCCAUGUGUUGAAGGUGGUAGCACUUCCAUCAGCCUGGGUCCUGAAUGCCUGCAGGAGAAUAUCCUUUUGAUCCAUGUACCUGCCGAGGACUGAUGGGGUCUUGUUCUGUCGCCCAGGCUGGAGUGUAGUGGCUCGACUGGCUCACUGCAACCUUCGUCUCCUGAGCUCAAGUG